rnacentral:rRNA from 1 species
GUGAGGAAUAUUGCGCAAUGGAGGAAACUCUGACGCAGCGACGCCGCGUGAAGGAUGAAGGCCCUCUGGGUUGUAAACUUCUGUAGAGAGGGAAGAAUUUUUCGCUUCGCGAAAUUGACGGUACCUCUAAAGUAAGGGUCGGCUAACUACGUGCCAGCAGCCGCGGUAAUACGUAGGACCCAAGCGUUGUCCGGAUUUACUGGGUGUAAAGGGAGCGCAGGCGGAUUUUCAAGUCGAUGGUGAAAUCUUGCGGCUCAACCGCAAAACAGCCGUCGAUACUGUUAAUCUUGAGUGUGGAAGAGAGUGGCGGAAUUCAUGGUGUAGCAGUGAAAUGCGUAGAUAUCAUGAAGAACACCGGUUGCGAAGGCGGCCACUUAGUCCAUUACUGACGCUCAUGCUCGAAAGCGUGGGGAUCAAACAGGAUUAGAAACCCGGGUAGUCC